rfam:Bacteroidetes bacterium R-53146 genome assembly, contig: Ga0061079_108
UUUGCACAGGCAAGUCCUGCACAACCAGCUCCUGUGAAUCCUCCAGGGUGGGAACGCAGCAAAGGUAAACGGUUGUAGCGGUGUGAUGCAGGUAGCUUGCCUUUUU